GGCUCAGGAUGAACGCUAGCGGCAGGCUUAACACAUGCAAGUCGAGGGGCAGCGCUGGGUAGCAAUACCCUGGCGGCGACCGGCGAAAGGGUGAGUAACGCGUGAGCAACGUGCCCGUAUGUGGGGGAUAGUCGAUGGAAACGUCGCGUAAUACCCCAUAACACAUUAUUCUGCAUGGGAUGAUGUUGAAAGAGUUAUUGCAUACGGAUCGGCUCGCGUGCCAUUAGGUAGACGGCGGGGUAACGGCCCACCGUGCCGACGAUGGCUAGGGGUUCUGAGAGGAAGGUCCCCCCACAUUGGAACUGAGACACGGUCCAGACUCCUACGGGAGGCAGCAGUGAGGAAUAUUGGACAAUGGCCGGAAGGCUGAUCCAGCCAUGCCGCGUGCGGGAGGACGGCCCUAUGGGUUGUAAACCGCUUUUGCGAGGGAGCAAUAAGGUCUACGUGUAGGCUGAUGAGAGUACCUUACGAAUAAGCAUCGGCUAACUCCGUGCC
rnacentral:rRNA from 1 species